rnacentral:rRNA from 1 species
AUACGUAGGGGGCAAGCGUUAUCCGGAUUUACUGGGUGUAAAGGGAGCGUAGACGGCACUGCAAGUCUGGAGUGAAAGCCCGGGGCUCAACCCCGGGACUGCUUUGGAAACUGUGGUGCUAGAGUGCAGGAGAGGUAAGUGGAAUUCCUAGUGUAGCGGUGAAAUGCGUAGAUAUUAGGUUAGGAACACCAGUGGCGAAGGCGGCUUACUGGACUGUAACUGACGUUGAGGCUCGAAAGCGUGGGGAGC